UACGGAGGGUGCAAGCGUUAUCCGGAAUCAUUGGGUUUAAAGGGUGCGCAGGCGGCCUAUUAAGUCAGUGGUGAAAUCCUUCCGCUUAACGGAAGAACUGCCAUUGAUACUGAUUGGCUAGAAUAUAGUUGAAGUAGGCGGAAUGUGUAGUGUAGCGGUGAAAUGCUUAGAUAUUACACAGAACACCGAUAGCGAAGGCAGCUUACUAAGCUAUUAUUGACGCUCAGGCACGAAAGCGUGGGGAUCGAAC
rnacentral:rRNA from 1 species